AUGGAUUUUCCCUUUCUGCUCUUAAAUGAUUUCUUUCUGAUUUUUAGGAGAAACUUUCUUUCUUCUAACGGUGUGCACUUACUCGUAUUCGGAAGCCAGACUCAGCUGGCUUCCCUAGAGAGGAAGCUCAAAAGCGCUUCGGUGUAUCUCACCAGGGAGAAACAAAAAUAAUGAAGGAUGAAAAUUUGGAGAGGCACUAUUUUCAGUAAUAGUCUUAUAAAUGAGGUAAGGCUCAAAGUUGCCAAAAUGGAAUCUGGAAAUAAAGAUUCAUCAGCCUUAUGUCUAAAGUAAAUCAUAAUUGUUCUGAAAAUGAUUAACGCUGGGUGACAGCCAAUGUUCCUUUGAUAAAAUAGUACUUAGUCUGAUGCUACAAUUGAGUAGACAGGAAAUGGCUCACCUUUUGGUAAUGAAUUAACUCUUUCGUACAGGCCUAUAGUAAUUCCAAAACAUAAGUUACAAAAAUGGCUCAGAUGCCAGGAAAUUAAACAGAGUUUCCCAGGAUAGCAAACAAUUGGGUGUGUGCGUUUUCUUUUUACUUUUUUAUUUUUCUUUGCUUUUUCUUCUUAUCAGUAUAUUUGACAAACAAUGUACCUAUUGCUCAAGGAGCUUCCUAUAAUUUCUUUGCGGAUUUGGCUGCAUCAAAGUAGAAGUUAGUAAACAACAACAUAACAGUAGUAUUCGGUGACUUUUUACUUUGCAAAAUUGCACAAAAUAUUUUUAAUAACUUUGUAAUAAGGUGGGAUCCAGGCAGAUCAAAUUCUCAUAAUUUGUCAAAGGUAGCCAUUAAAAUUGUAAUAAUGUAUUGGAAUUUCUUGAUUCCUGGAGUGCAAAAAACUAUUAAGCUGGGUUUCUGUCAUCAUAUAGUGUAUUUAAAUGCUUCUUUUAGACAUGUCUUUGCAUUUCGCACCACACUUCCUAUAUGCAAUAUUGCCAAGCUCAGUCUCUUUCUUCCCAUGGGCAUAACUUAAAUGCAUCUAGAAAAUGAUCUGAACUGUAGAGUGCAUAUCAUUUUAAACUGGAGAGAAGAAUAAAGCCUUGGAGACAGCACAGUAUGUGGUUGUAGUAGUCCAAGUUAAAAAUGACCUAAGUAUCAACGAGGGAUUUGAAUGCUAGACUAGUGUGGUUAUUAAUGGACAAAUACUCUUUCCUCAACCAAGGAACUGCUUCUAUUCCUUGUAGUUAUGGGAAUAGGAAAUGGAAAGAGACAACACUUUACUGGCAGACACAUUACUGACCCUGCAGAGGCAGCAAGAAAAACGAGCAGAGAAAGCUUCAGAGAAGAGAGUCCUGCCAAGCAGAAUGAUUGCUUCAGGAAGUACAGGAUUCCUUGGACAUGAUGAUGACUGGGUUGGGUAACCACCUAACAGAGUAGAAUGGAUCAAUCAAUGGGUUGUUGAAUCAAAUCAUCCUAGAAUGUUGAAAUCACUGGGAAAGAAGCAAAGGCAUCCUGAUUCCUGCCAUUUCUGACUCAUGGGUAUUUGAGAGAGCCAACCUCUCACUUCACUUAGGACACAUUGACAGCCAUUUGCUAGCCAUAUAUCUGGCAUGGUCUUGAAUUCAAAUAUUCAUUCUGUAAUCAGAAAAUGUCUUGAUGUUUUGCUUUCAUAAGUAUAGCUAUCAAAAUAAUAUAUUAAUAAAAUGCAGUUUUUAGACCACUGUAACUCUUCAAGACAGUUCUUAAAAUAAAUAAAAUGGUUA
ensembl:lncRNA